rnacentral:rRNA from 1 species
AGAGUUUGAUCCUGGCUCAGAAUCAACGCUGGCGGCGUGCCUAACACAUGCAAGUCGCACGAGAAAGGGUAGCAAUACCUGAGUAAAGUGGCGCACGGGUGAGUAACACGUGAAUUAUCUACCUCCGAGUGGGGAAUAACCUAGAGAAAUCUGGGCUAAUACCGCAUAACACUUACGAGUCAAAGCAGCAAUGCGCUUGGAGAGGAGUUCGCGGCCGAUUAGCUAGUUGGCGGGGUAAUGGCCCACCAAGGCGAUGAUCGGUAUCCGGCCUGAGAGGGCGCACGGACACACUGGAACUGAAACACGGUCCAGACUCCUACGGGAGGCAGCAGUGGGGAAUUUUGCGCAAUGGGGGAAACCCUGACGCAGCAACGCCGCGUGGAGGAUGAAAUAUCUUGGUAUGUAAACUCCUUUCGAUGGGGAAGAUUAUGACGGUACCCAUAGAAGAAGCCCCGGCUAACUUCGUGCCAGCAGCCGCGGUAAUACGAGGGGGGCAAGCGUUGUUCGGAUUUAUUGGGCGUAAAGGGUGCGUAGGCGGUUUGGCAAGUCUUAUGUGAAAUCUAUGGGCUCAACCCAUAGUCUGCAUAAGAAACUGCCGGGCUUGAGUAUGGGAGAGGUGAGUGGAAUUUCCGGUGUAGCGGUGAAAUGCGUAGAUAUCGGAAGGAACACCUGUGGCGAAAGCGGCUCACUGGACCAUAACUGACGCUGAGGCACGAAAGCUAGGGGAGCAAACAGGAUUAGAUACCCCCGUAGUCC